rnacentral:rRNA from 1 species
GACGGGGGGGGGCAAGCGUUGUUCGGAAUUACUGGGCGUAAAGGGCUCGUAGGCGGCCAACUAAGUCAGACGUGAAAUCCCUCGGCUUAACCGGGGAACUGCGUCUGAUACUGGAUGGCUUGAGUUUGGGAGAGGGAUGCGGAAUUCCAGGUGUAGCGGUGAAAUGCGUAGAUAUCUGGAGGAACACCGGUGGCGAAGGCGGCAUCCUGGACCAACACUGACGCUGAGGAGCGAAAGCGUGGGUAGCAAACAGG